UUCACAAUUUAUUUUGUAUAUUAAUUAGAUUCCGCGCUCAUCAGUACGUACUCACUGGCGACAUCGAGAAAAUGUAUCGGCAAUUCCUCGUACGACCAGAGGAUCGGAAAUAUCAAAGGAUAUUAUGGCGCAGCGCGAGUGGAGAAACAGAAACAUAUGAGCUUAACACCGUAAUACUCUUAUCAUAGAAAUAGAAGCAGUCCUCAAUUCCCGCCCGCUAACUCCUAUCUCCACCGAUCCAAAUGAUCUCCUAGCCCUCACUCCCGGACAUUUCCUCAUUGGCGAUUCAUUAAUGUGCUUACGUGAUCGAGAUUUCAGAGACAUUCCAUCGAACCGACUCUCCAAAUGGCAGCAUAUCCAACAGCUUAAACAACAUUUUUGGAACCGCUGGCAUAAGGAGUAUUUGAACGAGCUAACCAACCGCAAUAAAUGGAGCAAGGGUGGACACAGCAUCCAAAAGGGCACAAUCGUCAUCCUCAGAGAGGACAACGUUCCCUCCAUGCAUUGGCCUCUGGGCCGAGUUAUCAAGGUUCAUCCAGACGCCGAUGGUGUCAUCCGGACAGCUACAGUUCAGACGGCAAAGAGCAUUUUGGAUCGGGGCGUCAAAAGGCUUGUCCCACUGCCAAUUCAACCCGAUCUCGAGAAACCCGAACAACUAGCCACCGAGACGAAAUAAGAUGGGAACUUCAACCACACCUCCCUAGUUUGAUCGGUACCCUCUCAACGGGGGGAGAAUGUUGCGCCAUGCGGCUUACCAUAGGUCAUAUUCUUAACUAUCGAUCGCGGCACUAUAAUGUCGCAGACGGAUCGUCGCGUCUGCCCGGCAAACAAACAUUGUAGUGGCAAGCGCAUGGUUCAUUAAGCAGGGCGACUUCCAGAAACGUCGACUCGUGGCCCGUAUUUUACCUCGCAUAAAAGAAUGUGGCGUGAUCCGAACGUAGUGGGGGUCGCCUUCCAGAAAAAACGAAAAAAAUCGAAAGGCGUUCAGAACUUUUCGAGAAGUCGAACCGUCAACACAUGUGGCGCUUGGCCAUGGAUCGUUGCAUUAGGUUUUCGUAAUCCCCGAAACCCAGACAAACCACUAUGGAAGUGCGGAGGUUCCCUGAUAUCGGCUAGGCAUGUUUUGACCGCAGCACAUUGUGCACAUAUGGAUGGAAUAGAAAACAUACACAAUCAUAAUAUUGCCAUUCUUAGAUUGGUGGAGGAGGUGCCAUUUUCGAGGUACGUAUAUCCCAUUUGUACGAAAGAGCUCCUGCGAAAGAGCAACUUCGUCGGCUAUAACCCCCUUGUUGCUGGAUGGGGAGCAUUAAGAUAUAGACGACCACGACGUAAUGCAUUAAUGGAAGUACAAAUGCCAGUGAUUAAGAACGCCGAAUGCAAAAUAGCUUAUUCCAAAUUUCCUAAUGCACCUGAUGUCACUGAUGGUAUAAUAUGCGCCGAACGUGCUCAGGGUGGAAAGGAUUCUUGUACGGCUGACCGCGGCGGACCACUGCUGAUACAACAUGAAUUAACCUCGUAUUUAAUAGGUAUUGUGUCUUAUGCUUAUAAGUGCGGCACAGCUGGGUAUCCCAGCGUUUACACUAGGGUCACAUCGUACCUUGACUUCAUUCUCCAAGCGAUGCAAUAAUAUGAUAUUACUGUUCCAUAAAUAUCAUUGUGUAAAAAACGUAAAGUUGGAUUUUCUUAUUGUGGAGAUAAGAAACAGCUCAAAUUUACAUUGUUUUGUACGUUACAAAUUAUAGGCUUAAAAUGUACGAAAUGUAACUUUGAAACGACACUAAUUUUUUACGCACGAUAAACCUCCACGACUUAGAUUAUAGAUUCCUAUACGACUCUCAGUAAAAAUUUAUCCGCACUCCAGAUAGUUAAAACUUCUGUCGACCGUAUUGAUCCAUCUGCACUCUUCGUAUGACGUCAAUAUCUGUUCAGUGCUGCUGCGCAGGUUUCUUUGUGUUACGUCAAUUCGUUUGUGACCGUUGCGCGAGUAAUGGCGCUUUGCAAUGGUGAUUUGCAGGAAAACAGUGCAGAAUGCUGUGAUUCGUUUCUUGUGGUCGGAGGUUAUGUUUGAUGCCUAUAUUUAUCAAAGAUUUAAUGCACAUUAUGGAGAAAGUGUUUUGUCACGAAGUGUGUUUGAAUGGGCACAAAGGUUCAAAGAAGAUCGCACAAGUGUUAUGAAAAAACAGGUGGACGCCCGUCCACAUCCACGUUGACAACAUUGAACGUGUUCAUGAACUUAUGCUCUAUGGAAUAGGCGAGUGACACUGGAUAAUGUGGCAAAUCAUUUGCAAAUCAGCCACGGCUCUGCUUAUGCAAUAGUGCACGACAGAUUUGGGUUUUAAAAAGUUUGUGCGAGAUGGAUGCCGAAAAAGCUGAUGAAAAGGUGAAGACGACGAUGCAUUCGUGGUUCGCAGCUCAGCCCAAAACAUUUUUUAAUGAGAAAAUACGAAGGUCCUUCGGCAAAUGGACAAAGUGUAUACAGAAAUUGAGUGAUUAUGUCAAAAAAUGAUGUAUGUCUUUUUUGACAAUUGCUUAAAAUAAAUUCUACACCGACA